GACGGAGGAUGCAAGCGUUAUCCGGAAUGAUUGGGCGUAAAGCGUCCGCAGGUGGCAGUUCAAGUCUGCUGUCAAAGACCGGGGCUUAACUUCGGAAAGGCAGUGGAAACUGAACAGCUAGAGUAUGGUAGGGGCAGAGGGAAUUCCUGGUGUAGCGGUGAAAUGCGUAGAGAUCAGGAAGAACAUCGGUGGCGAAGGCGCUCUGCUGGACCAUAACUGACACUCAGGGACGAAAGCUAGGGGAGCGAAUGGGAUUAGAAACCCGAUAGUCC
rnacentral:rRNA from 1 species